AAUUGAUUAUGCAAGGAACGAGUAAGGUGCUAUGUUAUUGGGAUCCUAUAAUGAUUAUAAGGGUCUUUGGUCGAAAAGGGUUAUCAUCCCCAUGGAAGCAAUUGAAAUGGUGAAUGCUACAAUAGUCAAUGAUGUUAUUCGAUGAAGACAAAUGAAAAUGACAUGGAAACAGAGAGCCGAUCUCAAUUUUAAAAAAAUAUGUAUAUCCUCUGCUAUGAAAAUGGAGACACGGGACAGAUGAUAUCGUGGCAGUUCAAGUAUAAGAGAUAGCUGCGAAGAAUGGAUGCUGUGUCGUAGUGAGAAGCUGGUGUCCUACCUGUCCCGUCUGGAUGACCUUCCGAGCUGUCCCUGCCACUUCCCAACCAACAACGCCAUCGUGGAUCCUCAGCAAGGCCGGGAGUUCCAUUGGAUUCAACAAGAUCCUGAGGCAGCCCGACUGGAUAUCUACAAGCCGACCGCCAGUAGCUGUAUCCAAUCGGUACGUUCCUACCGCAGUACGUCGCUCGCCUCGCAGCAGUGCUGCUACGACGCCAAUCAGAGGUUGAUCACCAGAGGCCAAGGGGCUGGUACGCCUCAGCUCAUCACGGCACAGAUCUCUCGGGAGCUGCAUUACAAGAUCGACAUCUUGCCCUGGAUCAUAUGCAAAGGAGACUGGACCAAGUACAAUCGGAUCAGGCAGCCUAAUAACGGCAGAGAAUGCGAAGAGAUUCCAGAUUUGCAGACAUUCCUUUCUCAGGUUGAAGAAGCGCGGGACUUCUGAACAAGGAAGUUGUUUUGUCCUACUACAUUCUCUUUGGGAGAGAAACGGAAAUGGGACCAAGAAAUUCGUAAGAAAUUUCUCGUCCUUGACAAACUUUCUGUUUGGUGAUUCAAUAUGCACUGCCAGCUAACGAACGUGGUGUAUAUCACCUGUAAAACAAAUGGGGGCUGUUUUAUAUAUAUAUAUAUUUUUUUUUUUGGGGGGGGGGACUUGGUUGAAAUCUCCUUUUCACUGAUUCGUAAGAAAUUUCUCGUCCUGGACAAACUUUCUGUUUGGUGAUUCAGUAUGCACUGCCAGCUAACGAACUUGGUGUAUAUCACCUGUAAAACAAAUGGGGGCUGGUUUUGUUUUUUUGGGGGGGGGACUUGGUUGAAAUAUCCUUUUCACUGAUUUGCCUUUCCUGUUGCCGAAUGGUUUUGAAAGUGUGGGUGGAUUGGGCGGGGCUGACCUUGUAAAAAAUCUCAAUCCGAUGGUAAUUAUUAAGUUUUUGUACACAUUUAUUGAUAAAACGUGGGGGAGUCAGUAACCCCCCCCCCUCCGGUUCUGGGGAUUAUGUUUCUCUCUGUCUUUCAGAUUCUUUCUCCAUUUUCUUUUCUCUUUGUCAUUCCCUGACAGCACUUAAACACAUUUCAACAUUUUCCCUUGAAUACUUAAAAUGAGCAGGUUGAUUGAUAUUGAAACUCUUGUUCUAGAGAGAGUCAUAUCAAUUAUAAUUUAUUAAGAAGAAUGAUUUGGUGUAACCAGUUAACAUUUUUUGGCCAGUUACGAUAAAAUAUGGCUAUACUCAUUUUUAUAUCUGACUAUAUAGAUUUCAUCAUAAUGAACGCAAAACAAAUUUUAUACUGGUUGGAAAAAAAUAUGAUAUUUCCUUUUUAAUAGGUGAGUUAUAUGAAUUAUGUGAAUUUGGUAUUUUUAUCCUGUCAGGAGUUGAUGAUGUUGUUAACGAUAUUCACUUUUUGAAUAUGAUAACUACCUCGAAUGAUAAUGUCAUUAUUUGUAUUAUAUACCUGUGAGUAUAUAGGCUACUGAUUAGAAAUUUACGCUGCAGUCACACAAUGAAACCGAUAGGUAACCGAUCGCUGAGUACUGUACGUCAUUGCUAUGGCCGGUCUGGGUUUGGCUUCGCUGAUGUGGCUUUGAUUAGACUACACAUUGACAUUUAAUCGAUAUAUAUAGAGGCGUACCUGUUAAGGUCUACUUUUAAAUUAUGUUUGUACUGAAAUAGUCACGGGUUUGUACUGUAUAUAUACUUAUUGCUAGAAUUGUGAUUCAAGUAUUUAAAACAGAACACACUCUAAAAAACGAAGAGCUAUAAUUUAGCUCUUAAAGAGCAUGUAUAGGCGACUGCGCACUUCGGAGUGCUGAUUUUUCUCGCUCAAAUUUUAACUCGACAAAUCAGCACUCCGAAGUGCAGUCGACACGCUCUUUAAGAGCUAAAUUAGCUCUUCGUUUUUAGAGUGCAUGCAGAAUAGGAUCACCCAUUAUCUCCUAACUGAU